UCCGUAGGUGAACCUGCGGAGGGAUCAUUACUGAGUUUACGCUCUAUAACCCUUUGUGAACAUACCUAUCACUGUUGCUUCGGCGGGUAGGGCCUCCGCGACCCUCCCGGCCUCCCGCCUCCGGGCGGGUCGGCGCCCGCCGGAGGAUAACCAAACUCUGAUUUAACGACGUUUCUUCUGAGUGGUACAAGCAAAUAAUCAAAACUUUUAACAACGGAUCUCUGGGUUCUGGCAUCGAUGAAGAACGCAGCGAAAUGCGAUAAGUAAUGUGAAUUGCAGAAUUCAGUGAAUCAUCGAAUCUUUGAACGCACAUUGCGCCCGCCAGCAUUCUGGCGGGCAUGCCUGUUCGAGCGUCAUUUCAACCCUCAAGCUCUGCUUGGUGUUGGGGCCCUACAGCUGAUGUAGGCCCUCAAAGGUAGUGGCGGACCCUCCCGGAGCCUCCUUUGCGUAGUAACUUUACGUCUCGCACUGGGAUCCGGAGGGACUCUUGCCGUAAAACCCCCCAAUUUUCCAAAGGUUGACCUCGGAUCAGGUAGGAAUACCCGCUGAACUUAAGCAUAUCAAUAAGCGGAGGA
rnacentral:rRNA from 1 species